AACGGCCGCGGUAUUUUGACCGUGCAAAGGUAGCAUAAUCAUUAGUCUUUUAAUAGGAGACUGGAAUGAAAGGUUUGACGAGGCAAUAUCUGUCUCAAUUCAAUUUUUUGAAUUUAGCUUUUUGGUCAAAAGGCCUAGAUGAUUUUGGAAGACGAGAAGACCCUAUAGAGCUUUAAGAUUAAUUUUAUUAAUUUAUUUUUUUUAUUAUUUUUUUAAUUUUUUUAAUUUUUUUGUUGGGGUGACAAGAACACAUAAUUAGCUAUUAUUAUUUAUUAUACAUUUAUAUAUGAUUCUUAGAUCCUUUUUUAUUGAUUGUUAGAAUAAGUUACCUUAGGGAUAACAGCGUAAUCUUCCUUCAGAGUUCAAAUUUACAGGAAGGCUUGCGACCUCGAUGUUGGAUUAAGAUAAUUAUUGGGUGUAGAAGCUUAAUUAAUAGGUCUGUUCGAC
rnacentral:rRNA from 1 species